rnacentral:piRNA from 1 species
UAAUUCAAAUUCAUAUCGAAA